CGGCGACGUAGGCGAUGGCGUAGUUGGUGGCGCUCAGGCCGCUGGCGGCGAUCGCGUAGUCGCCGGCGUUCACCGCGCCCUGCGCCGU
rnacentral:tRNA from 1 species